GAUGAACGCUGGCGGCGUGCCUAAUACAUGCAAGUCGAGCGAACGGACGAGAAGCUUGCUUCUCUGAUGUUAGCGGCGGACGGGUGAGUAACACGUGGAUAACCUACCUAUAAGACUGGGAUAACUUCGGGAAAACGGAGCUAAUACCGGAUGAUAUUUUGAACCGCAUGGUUCAAAAGUGAAAGACGGUCUUGCUGUCACUUAUAGAUGGAUCCGCGCUGCAUUAGCUAGUUGGUAAGGUAACGGCUUACCAAGGCAACGAUGCAUAGCCGACCUGAGAGGGUGAUCGGCCACACUGGAACUGAGACACGGUCCAGACUCCUACGGGAGGCAGCAGUAGGGAAUCUUCCGCAAUGGGCGAAAGCCUGACGGAGCAACGCCGCGUGAGUGAUGAAGGUCUUCGGGUCGUAAAACUCUGUUAUUAGGGAAGAACAUAUGUGUAAGUAACUGUGCACAUCUUGACGGUACCUAAUCAGAAAGCCACGGCUAACUACGUG
rnacentral:rRNA from 1 species